UCCAGUUUGGUGUAGUUGGUUAGUUGUUAGUUCUCAAGCCAAACAGGUCGAAGGUUCGAAUCCCACUCUUGGAA
rnacentral:tRNA from 1 species